rnacentral:rRNA from 1 species
GACAGAGGGUGCAAACGUUGCUCGGAAUCACUGGGCGUAAAGGGCGUGUAGGCGGGUAGAUAAGUCGGGCGUGAAAUCCCUAGGCUCAACCUAGGAACUGCACUCGAAACUGUUUAUCUUGAGUGCCGGAGAGGAAAGCGGAAUUCCUGGUGUAGAGGUGAAAUUCGUAGAUAUCAGGAGGAACACCAGUGGCGAAGGCGGCUUUCUGGACGGUAACUGACGCUGAGACGCGAAAGCGUGGGGAGCAAAC